GUUGGGGCUAUUAGAUGGGAUUAUAAAAUUACUGCUAAUAAUUUUUAGUCAAUUUACUUUGACCCCUUCU
rnacentral:tRNA from 1 species